CUACUGAUCCCAUCCACCUGCCUGUUUUCUGCAAAACCAAGUAGAAAGUCAGUCAGUUGGGUGAUGUGAUGACUUUUGCAGGCCAGGAAAUGAGCUGUGGUAUUAGACUGCCUGGUGUCUCAGCUCAAAGGCAUCUCUAUCUCCGGCUGAAAAUCAGGGUUGAACAAAGGAGCAGCCUGAGAAAGAGGCACAAUCAUGAUGUUUGAAAAACUCCAGACUCUGUAGUUCAGAACAGUCACAUUCUGCAGUGCAAGGAGAGCAGGAAUAGAAGGUAAGGAAGGAUAUGGAAGGAAGAGGAUAUGGAUGGAUUUCUGCUCUUCAUGCUAUCUGGCUUCUUCUGAGUCUCUGUAAAAUCUCCGUGUGAAGUGGAUGUCUGGAGUGGCUCCAGACCAUGGUGAAAGGAUGGCUGGGCCCCAUCUGCCCCCCUUCACUGCUGCCCUGGGACUGGCAUUGCUUGGUGUCCUGGUCUUCCUCUCAGCCCUGUGUGCUGCCUGCAGAAGGAAAGCUAGGAAGAAGGUGGUCCCACCAGAUGGGGUGAAGCUGGUAGAUGUGUCGUUGCUGAGGCAGACGCAGCUCCGAUCGCUCAGUAAAUCUGACACCAAACUGCAUGAACUCCACAGGGUGAAGUGCACUUCUGAGCACCAAAGACCAGCCAGCGUGGAUUUCCUUUAUCCAUCAGGGUCUUUGGGGGAUGGAGAAGGAGCUGUGCAUAGCUCGAGCUUCAGCAUCCUGCUGCACCGAGAGCUGCCCCAGAUCCCCCAUUCCAACCCUUCGGCUGAUGCCCUGAGUCCUGACCAGACCUACUCAAACCUGUCCUUCUUAGCCCCACUAAAACCAGCCCCGGAGGCGCUGUAUGAGUGUGCGGCCAUGACUCAGGAAGAGCCUCAGCCAAUGCCUGUCUUGGGAACCCCUCUAAGUGAGGAGGACAAGGCAGUGACGGCUGAGUACGCCUGUGUCCGCAAGGUGAAGAAGAAUUUCCAGCCAGAGCUCCAGGAUGAGACACAGGGCGAAUCCUCCGUGGGGACGGCAGACCCAGAAGCCUGGGAAGGAGCUGCCUGUAACCCUGCAGCGGUGAAGGUAGAAGAAAUGUACUCGACUGUGUGCAAAGCUGGCAAGAAGAAGAAACACCAAGGCUCUGCUCUGUCCCCUUCUGAAGGAAUGGACACUAGGGAGACAGGCCAAGGAGAACAGGGGUGGCCAGCUGCCCAUCUCAGAGAUGUCAGGGCGGGGUAUCAGUCCACACCGGGUCGAGUCUUACUCACUGAGCCCUGCUAUGAGUCGAUCAGUGAUGGAUCCUGGACUGAGCAUGGCAGGAACCCAGUCCCAGAACCGGCCUACGAGGCAGUAGAUGUCAACUGGAAAAAGCCCAAGAGAAGGGAUAAGUCUACCAAGAACUGCCCUGCCGAGAACUUGUAUGAAAGCAUCAGUGAAAUGUGGGAAGGGGACUCUAGGAACACAGCUACCCUGGCGGCUCCCAAUGGGUUGGAGAUAUACGUAACAGACUGAUAACCCCUUAUGUCUAGCUGCCCCCUUCCUGGGAAGGUCUGUGCUCCUCCACUGAGACCUCCAGCUGUCUCAGGUCUCAGCCACAUGGCGAGGCACAACAAGAACAUCCAACACCACAACAGUAAAUACUAAAAACAUCAACCCGCUCUAAACCCUCCUGCCUCAGGUCUCAGGCCAGCCUGUCACUAACAGGAGUUAAACUUUCCCUGCGGGCUGGGUAUCCCAAUGCUCCUUCUGCAGAACGCCUCACACCUUCCUCUGAAGCAGCUGGUGCUGGGUGUUGUCCGAGGCAGUUCACUGGACUCGGUGGACCUAUGGUGGCCUGAACUACAGGCAAAAGAAUUGAGUAAUUCUAAUGGGUUUGGCAUUGGUUGAGGGUUGUGCCCAUUCUAGGGGGCACAGACACCCAGAUCAGGUGCCUCUCUUCCCUGAGUCUUUAUGCAGGGUCCAGUAAAGCUGGGCACAGAAACCUAGGUAAGGAAAGGGGCAGCUGAGUUAAUAAAGAGGAAUCUCCCGUAUGUAUUUUAAUCCUG
ensembl:lncRNA